rnacentral:rRNA from 1 species
GACGAACGCUGGCGGCGUGCUUAACACAUGCAAGUCGAACGGAAAGGCUUCUUUCGGGGGGUACUCGAGUGGCGAACGGGUGAGUAACACGUGAGUAACCUGCCCUUGACUUUGGGAUAACUUCAGGAAACUGGGGCUAAUACCGGAUAGGAGCUCCUGCUGCAUGGUGGGGGGUGGAGAGUUUCGGCGGUUGGGGAUGGACUUGCGGCUUAUCCGCUUGUUGGUGGGGUAGUGGCUUACCAAGGCUUUGACGGGUAGCCGGCCUGAGGGGGUGACCGGCCACAUUGGGACUGAGAUACGGCCCAGACUCCUACGGGAGGCAGCAGUGGGGAAUAUUGCACAAGGGGUGGAAGCCUGAUGCAGCAACGCCGUGUGCGGGAUGACGGCCUUCGGGUUGUAAGCCGCUUUCGCUCAUGACGAAGCUUUGUGUGACGGUAGUGGGUAAAGAAGCACCGGCUAACUACGUG